AGUGAACGCUGGCGGCGUGCUUAACACAUGCAAGUCGAACGGAUGAAAUAAGCUUGCUUAUUUCGUUAGUGGCGCACGGGUGAGUAAUGUAUAGCUAACCUGCCCUUUAGUGGGGGACAACAGCUGGAAACGACUGCUAAUACCCCAUACUCCUUCUUAUCAUAAGGUAAGUCGGGAAAGAAUUAUUGCUAAAGGAUGGGGCUUUAUUGUAUCAGCUUGUUGGUGGGGUAAUGGCCUACCAAGGCGAUGACGCAUACCUGGUCUGAGAGGAUGAACAGGCAAACUGGAGGUGAGACACGGUCCAGACUCCUUCGGGAGGCAGCAGUGGGGAAUAUUGCACAAUGGGGGAAACACUGAUGCAGCAACGCCGCGUGGAGGAUGACGCAUUUCGGUGUGUAAACUCCUUUUAUAAGGGAAGAUAAUGACGGUACCUUAUGAAUAAGCACCGGCUAACUCCGUGCCAGCCGCCGCCGUAA
rnacentral:rRNA from 1 species